UGCGCACAUCAUCUAUUCAUGGGAAACAGAGGAACUGGGGGCAUGGGCAGCAGCUCUCAGAGCACGGGAAUGCCCCCACAGUGAUGAUAAUGGGGGUGUGGCUUGCGAUUGCAUCAUUCCCACAAAACCACCCCCUUUUUGUGAGGCCAUGCCCCUUUUCAAAUGAGAAGGCGGCUUUUCUGCACAGGGGUCCCACAUUGAUGCACCAAGAAGUUGAGAGCAACGCUUGGGAACACUGGACCAUGGGAUGUUCAACAGCUAACCCCAGGAGAGGGAACACUCAGGCUGCCUGACCGGAGACAUUUAUGAAAGCAAUCUGUAUUUUGGAUAUGAUAAAUGUUGAUUUAAUUUAAAGCUGUGUCCUUAAUAAUAACAACAGUUAUCUGGUUAAAGAUAUGUUGUUUUAAGGAAGAUACUUCUUUGUAAUAUAUAUUUGUGCAUUUUAUGGAUUUUUUUAUAAUGAAUUAAUAAAUACCUAUCAGCGCUCUCU